UGACGUAGCCAGCUCAGUGCCGCUGCAGAUUACUGAUGAUUUUAUGUGUAUUGUUCAGUACAAAUUUAGUAUGUUGGUUUGGUCUGGUGACUGGUCACAAGAUGAUGUCAUCCAUUAGCGCAGGGUGUACAGAGGUUCCAAUUCUGCAGCUGGUGUGGACAGGGUUAUAAGCCACCAGCACCUGUAUGAGACGUUCUCAUAGAUGUCAGCAGGAUGACAGUGCAGGCGGCAGCAGGACGGGCAGGAGGUAAGU